CAACCCUGUAGCUUGCGAGUGAUGCCUCAUUUUUGGGGAGUACAGAUAAUGUUGCAUAGGCUCAAGCUUAUGUCUAUUUAGAUAAUUGUGAGACUACUCUUUCGAAGGUUGGGAUGUUUCAUUUUUCUCUUCUCAAGAACUUUUUUUUGGUUUUCCUCCAUAAACUACUUGGUUGGUGGGUCAGCAUUACUAAGUAUAGGGGCAGUAAAUCUCCAUUUUAGUUGUCAGUGUUACUAUGUUUUAAUUGAUUCUUAUAAAUCCAAAUAGUGGUGGACACAGGCCAAUCCAGGUUCAUGACUGGGAGGAACCUGAACAGGACCAAGGGCCCGGUUUCCCAUGGUUCUGAUUUGAUCCGAG
rnacentral:misc_RNA from 1 species